rnacentral:rRNA from 1 species
GACGUAGGGCGCGAGCGUUGUCCGGAUUUAUUGGGCGUAAAGAGCUCGUAGGCGGCUUGUCGCGUCGUCCGUGAAAACCUGCGGCUCAACUGCAGGCUGGCGGUCGAUACGGGCAGGCUGGAGUUCGGUAGGGGAGACUGGAAUUCCUGGUGUAGCGGUGAAAUGCGUAGAGAUCAGGAAGAACACCAGUGGCGAAGGCGGGUCUCUGGACAGUUCCUGACACUGAGGCACGAAGGCCAGGGGAGCAAACGGG